CGUCCGAAAAUACUUGUCAUCAAAAUGGACAAAAGAGAAUGUAUGGAGAACUAAAAUACAUCUAAAUACAUCUCCUUUUAUUUAUUUUGGUGACAAGUAUUUCCGGACG
rfam:Triticum aestivum genome assembly, contig: Triticum_aestivum_CS42_TGACv1_scaffold_130730_2BL